rnacentral:rRNA from 1 species
CCCGCGUAGCUACCUGCAGUCGAGCGGAACGAUCCCAGCUUGCUGGGAGGCGUCGAGCGGCGGACGGUUGAGUAAUGCAUAGGAAUCUGCCCGGUAGUGGGGGAUAACUUGAGGAAACUCAAGCUAAUACCGCAUACGCCCUACGGGGGAAAGCAGGGGCUCUUCGGACCUUGCGCUAUCGGAUGAGCUUAUGUCGGAUUAGCUGGUUGGUGAGGUAAUGGCUCACCAAGGCGACGAUCCGUAGCUGGUCUGAGAGGAUGAUCAGCCACAUCGGGACUGAGACACGGCCCGAACUCCUACGGGAGGCAGCAGUGGGGAAUAUUGGACAAUGGGCGAAAGCCUGAUCCAGCCAUGCCGCGUGUGUGAAGAAGGCCCUCGGGUUGUAAAGCACUUUCAGUGAGGAAGAAGGCUUGUCGGUUAAUACCCGACAGGAAAGACAUCACUCACAGAAGAAGCACCGGCUAACUCCGUGCCAGCAGCCGCGGUAAUACGGAGGGUGCAAGCGUUAAUCGGAAUUACUGGGCGUAAAGCGUGCGUAGGCGGCUUGGUAAGCCGGUUGUGAAAGCCCCGGGCUCAACCUGGGAAUGGCAUCCGGAACUGUCAGGCUAGAGUGCAGGAGAGGAAGGUAGAAUUCCCGGUGUAGCGGUGAAAUGCGUAGAGAUCGGGAGGAAUACCAGUGGCGAAGGCGGCCUUCUGGACUGACACUGACGCUGAGGUACGAAAGCGUGGGUAGCAAACAGGAUUAGAUACCCUGGUAGUCCACGCCGUAAACGAUGUCGACUAGCCGUUGGGGUCCUUGAGACCUUUGUGGCGCAGUUAACGCACUAAGUCGACCGCCUGGGGAGUACGGCCGCAAGGUUAAAACUCAAAUGAAUUGACGGGGGCCCGCACAAGCGGUGGAGCAUGUGGUUUAAUUCGAUGCAACGCGAAGAACCUUACCUACCCUUGACAUCGUGCGAACUUGGUAGAGAUACCUUGGUGCCUUCGGGAGCGCACAGACAGGUGCUGCAUGGCUGUCGUCAGCUCGUGUUGUGAAAUGUUGGGUUAAGUCCCGUAACGAGCGCAACCCUUGUCCUUAUUUGCCAGCGAUUCGGUCGGGAACUCUAAGGAGACUGCCGGUGACAAACCGGAGGAAGGUGGGGACGACGUCAAGUCAUCAUGGCCCUUACGGGUAGGGCUACACACGUGCUACAAUGGCCGGUACAAUGGGUCGCAAAGCGGCGACGUGGAGCUAAUCCCAUAAAGCCGGUCUCAGUCCAGAUCGGAGUCUGCAACUCGACUCCGGAAGUCGGAAUCGCUAUAAUCGGCUCGAUGUCAUAUAUCAAUCCC